rnacentral:rRNA from 1 species
GAUGAACGCUGGCGGCGUGCCUAAUACAUGCAAGUCGAGCGAACAGACGAGGAGCUUGCUCCUCUGACGUUAGCGGCGGACGGGUGAGUAACACGUGGAUAACCUACCUAUAAGACUGGGAUAACUUCGGGAAACCGGAGCUAAUACCGGAUAAUAUAUUGAACCGCAUGGUUCAAUAGUGAAAGACGGUUUUGCUGUCACUUAUAGAUGGAUCCGCGCCGCAUUAGCUAGUUGGUAAGGUAACGGCUUACCAAGGCAACGAUGCGUAGCCGACCUGAGAGGGUGAUCGGCCACACUGGAACUGAGCCACGGUCCAGACUCCUACGGGAGGCAGCAGUAGGGAAUCUUCCGCAAUGGGCGAAAGCCUGACGGAGCAACGCCGCGUGAGUGAUGAAGGUCUUCGGAUCGUAAACCUCUGUUAUUAGGGAAGAACAAAUGUGUAAGUAACUAUGCACGUCUUGACGGUACCUAAUCAGAAAGCCACGGCUAACUACGUG